UCCAGAGGAGCCAAGCGUUGUCCGGAAUUAUUGGGCGUAAAGGGCUCGUAGGCGGUUUGUCGCGUCGGGAGUGAAAUCCACUGGCUUAACUGGUGGCUUGCUUUCGAUACGGGCAGACUGGAGGUAUGCAGGGGAGAACGGAAUUCCUGGUGUAGCGGUGAAAUGCGCAGAUAUCAGGAGGAACACCGGUGGCGAAGGCGGUUCUCUGGGCAUGUCCUGACGCUGAGGAGCGAAAGUGUGGGGAGCGAACAGG
rnacentral:rRNA from 1 species